UCUAAACCUGAUUUUACUCCCGUAGUGUGAUUUGUUGUGGGGUGUGUUUCCAAAGAUGGGGAGGUUUUCCUGUCGGGCUCUCUUAUGUGUGAAUACGAGGUCUUGCACACCAGCAGUGCUCUGGCAAAGUGAGCAAUCGUACCUUUUGUGCGCCGUAGCUAGGGGACAAAAGUAACAGGAGGUUUUCUCAGUGUUUGUAGUGCUGCCUUGAAAGAUGCACUCUUUGUUUGCAGCUGGUUUGAUUCGGGAUGCCUGCAGAAGGGAAGUCAACGGAUUGCAGAAGGUGUAGAGCUCUGUCAGCUGCUCCACUUUUUCCACUAUUGAUUUUUUCCAUUCUUUUGUAACCGCCAGUGACUGGAAGCUCUUGCGGCAGCCCAGAGGCUUCUCUGUCCGGUCCUGGAGGGCUGGAAAACCCCAAGUUUGUUAUCUUCCUGGUCUGCCCAGGCGCUUUCCUGCCCUGGCAGGUUCUGGGAAUUGCCCUGAAGUCAUCCAUUCUUCAGACAGAUCCUAGCUUGCUUUAGUAGAAGAGACAGGAAAUUAAGAGCAUUUUGGACAUGUCAGAAGAGAUUCUUGCUCCUGCUUUCAACUUGGGGUGACCCACUGUAGACAGCCAUUUCUCCCUGACAAGUCUUCCUUCCUUUUGUCAUCUAAAUACAGCUGCACUGCUCUUGACACUGGGUCUGUAGUCCCCUCUCUGGGAAGAAGGAGCAGCUAUAUUCUAGCCCAGGGCCCACCAAACCACGUCUCUUCGGCUGGCUGUGACACUAAAUCACGGUUGGAAGUGACAAAGUGAAAAAGAAUAUUUUUCAGUACAAGAACGGUUAUUCUACUGACAUGCUGUGCUGGCAUUAUUCUAACAUUUGUUUCAUCCAGUACGUGUUCUGUGUAUUCAUUUAUUCUCCUUUUUUUUGAAGGCACCCUUUUAUUUUGGAGAUUGUGGAGGAAGAGCAGCACAUGAGAAAGGUCUGCAUGUGUAACGAAAGUACACGCAACGCAGCUGAGAGCAGAGGUUCCCCACAAGGACUCAAUAAAGAGAUUUAAUUCCUGAAACCGGUCGUCUUCCACUUGUUCUCUGUCUCUCUGCAGGGGCUGUUAUUAUGGGCUGGAAAUGUAAUUUAAGGGAGGAGAGCUGAACCUGUGCAAGACCUGCCCAAAUUCAGAGAGGAUGAGCACCAGCCUUCAGACCAGACCUCAAAGGAGCUUCUCUUAGUAAGGUGGGCUUACAUGUGGGUGCUGGAUGAAAACCCUAAGUCAUAUCUGUAGAGCUAUACAAAUAAGAUGCUUCUGCCCAGGAAAUGUACUUGUCUGCUUACGUGCGGGGAGAGGGAAUAAUACCCUGUGUUUUGUUACCACUUGAGAAAAUCUUUCCCAGACCGAUCGUCUUAUUUCACCCCCUCAGCUAAAGUGAAACUUCCUGGGGACCAUCUCGCCUCACACGUUGAGCCACACACUCCUCUCAGCCGUGUCUAUCUGCUGUGCAGUCAGCAGGUCGUGGCAAGAAGCGAGCGCUGCCGCUCUUACGCUGGUGUGGGUUGUGCAGGAGGAGCCCGCAGGUGAGUUUUAGGCAUUGCUGCGCAGGCAAGUUGGGGGGUUUGUUAAGUGCAUGUUACUGAUGUUUGUUCUUUCUGUGUGGAUAAAUGCUUUGGGACCUAAACCAGCUCAUCCUUUGAGCUCUUCUCGUAGAAGUAAAUAUCUUAGAAGUGGCGUGUUUCACUUUCCCAAACCUACUUUCCUUUGGUGUAAUUCCCUUUGACUAAUUGCAGAUGAUAUCAGAACCAUCACUGCAAAUUUUCUGUCUGCCAUUCACGUUAUUUUCCACUUUGCUGAUUCUUAAAUGAGCAUGGGAACAACUCAGCCUCUCAGGCUGAGAAUUAAACCUGCAUAAUACCUCGGGCAUGAAUCUGAGCUGACCGGCACAGAAACCUGCAGCCCUCCGGUUCUGCUCUGUGCUUUCCGCAUACCAGAAGAGACUUGGGUUUUCCCCGUUUUUUGGGACUGAUGGGUUCCUGCACCCCAGGGCUUGUCUGGGAGAGGGUUGAAGCAGCAAGUUACUCCCAAUAGCGCAUUUCUUUUAGAUUCUAAUGAGUUGGAACAUAAAAUUAUGUUGGAGUAAAUUAUUCCUAGCAGUAUCAUUUCAUGGUCUCUCGUACCCUGUGGGAUUUUUGUGUGCAUCUUCCCUGCUCCCCUCACCCCUGCCUCGUUGCUUCUCUCCCAAAUUAACAGCUGGUUGGGGGGAGAGGGCGGAAGAGAAAAGCCUGUUCUUGUCUUUGUGGAUUUGUAUGCUCACGGGUAGUUCGGGUGCAGCGUAGGAGCAUCCUGUGCAAGGGGAAGCAGAUGCUGAGGAAUAUGAAGCACCGGGUACGGAUUUCCUAGGUUUGGCAACAGCGUGGUUUGCUCAUAAAAUGGCAAAAGUUGGCAUUUGCAGCGCACCGAGGUGCUGUGGCUGCUUAGUCACAGAGGUUGUGCUUCCCCAUUGUGCUGGGGACUUCCCUCCUGUGCGGGGAAGUGGGAUUCUUUACGGUCUGCGAAGUAACUAAUCUUUUCCUCUGAUCUAAUUACAACUGAGGGGUGCGCAGGAAGGCUUAGCGUGUUGUGGUUUCUCUUCCUUUCACUAUGACUUAGCCCGAAGGAUGAUGCUGAGGGUGUCUGAUGCCAUCCCAACCCACGCCGCCUGUCUGCGUUCUGCAGUCCACAUCAAACCCGGGGCUCGAGCUCUCGGUGUUCGAGAUCCCGGCCCAGCAUAAGACCCUGUCCGUACUGUCCUUCCUAAGAGCAGCCAAACAGGCGUGGGGCAGCCACGAUUCGAAAUAAAACUGCCAGGAGGCGGGAAGCCCUUCCUAAAGCUUUGUGGAUUGUCCAGCAAGAAAAACUUUUGGGCGCAGGUUCACACCACCUCUUGCUAGGUGCGUAGUGAGAAGAUUGGGCCAGUUGACCCUUCAGGCCAGUACCAGAACUUUAGGGAAACUAAGUCAAAGAUCUAAAGGCUGGAGAAGGCUGCUUUUAAUGUCUUUUCUAAAAGCUACUGGCUAAAUACAGGAGUAAAACUUAAGUUUUUGCUUGCUUAAUGCUUCACAAGAUUGCUGGGGGGGAAUCUGGGCAGGAGACUCUCCUCCCCCUUUUCUGGUUGCCUGUGUCACGCUGCUAAGCUGUCAGAAAUAAGGAUAUGAUCGGGAACAAUGACUUUGAAUUUAAAUGCCGUAUCAUCCUGCUGUUGCCGUUUUGGUUUUCUGCUGUAUGAGACAAUAAACUGGGUUCUAUCGCAA